rnacentral:rRNA from 1 species
UACGUAGGGUGCGAGCGUUAAUCGGAAUUACUGGGCGUAAAGCGUGCGCAGGCGGUUUUGUAAGCCAGAUGUGAAAUCCCCGGGCUUAACCUGGGAAUGGCAUUUGGGACUGCAAGGCUCGGAGUGCGGCAGAGGAGACUGGAAUUCCUGGUGUAGCAGUGAAAUGCGUAGAUAUCAGGAGGAACACCGAUGGCGAAGGCAGGUCUCUGGGCUGACACGUGACGCUCAUGCACGAAAGCGUGGGGAGCAACAGG